UGAAUACGAGAUGCUACGGCGUCGAAGCAGUCUAUGUCAUACUUCCAAGAAAAGCUCGCACUGUCAUAAACAAAUAAUGCCUGUACCAUAACCGACACAGGUGGGUAGGUAGAGUAUACUAAGGGGCGCGAGAUAACUCUCUCUAAGGAACUCGGCAAAAUGACUCCGUAACUUCGGGAGAAGGAGUGCCUUAUUUAUAAGGUUGCAAUAACAAGAUCCAAGCAACUGUUUAUCAAAAACACAGGUCUCCGCUAAGUCGUAAGACGAUGUAUGGGGGCUGACGCCUGCCCAGUGCCAGAAGGUUAAAGAAGUUGGUUAGCAUUCGCGAAGCUGAUAACUGAAGCCCUGGUGAACGGCGGCCGUAACGAUAACGGUCCUAAGGUAGCGAAAUUCCUUGUCGGGUAAGUUCCGACCCGCACGAAAGGCGUAAUGAUUUGGAUACUGUCUCGGAGAGGGGCUCGGUGAAAUAGACUUGUCUGUGAAGAUGCGGACUACCUGCACCAGGACAGAAAGACCCUAUGAAGCUUUACUGUAACUUGAGAUUGAAAUUGGACUUUACUUGCGCAGUAUAGGUGGGAGGCGUUGAUAAUAUUCUUGCGGGAUUAUUUGAGCCUUCAGUGAGAUACCACUCUUGUAAUGUUAGAUUUCUAACUUUGUAUCAUUAUCUGGUCAAAGGACAGUUUCAGGCGGGCAGUUUGACUGGGGCGGUCGCCUCCUAAGCGGUAACGGAGGCGCACAAAGGUUUCCUCUGAACGGGUAGAAAUCGUAUCUAGAGUGUAAAGGCAUAAGGAAGCUUGACUGUGAGACCUACAAGUCGAGCAGGGACGAAAGUCGGUCUUAGUGAUCUGACAGUGCUGAGUGGAAAGGCCGUCACUCAACGGAUAAAAGUUACUCUAGGAUAACAGGCUGAUCUCCCCCAAGAGUUCACAUCGACGGGGAGGUUUGGCACCUCGAUGUCGGCUCAUCGCAUCCUGGGGCGGUAGUACGUCCCAAGGGUUGGGCUGUUCGCCCAUGAAAGCGGUACGCGAGCUGGGUUCAGAACGUCGUGAGACAGUUCGGUCCAUAUCCGGUGUAGGCGUUAGAAUAUUGAGAGGAGCCUUCUUUAGUACGAGAGGACCGAGAAGGACAUACCUCUGGUGUACCAGUUAUCGUGCCAACGGUAAACGCUGGGUAGCUAUGUAUGGAGUGGAUAACCGCUGAAAGCAUCUAAGUGGGAAGCCCACCUCAAGAUAAGUAUUCUC
rnacentral:rRNA from 1 species